rnacentral:rRNA from 1 species
UACGUAGGGUGCAAGCGUUAAUCGGAAUUACUGGGCGUAAAGCGUGCGCAGGCGGUUUUGUAAGUCAGAUGUGAAAUCCCCGGGCUUAACCUGGGAACUGCGUUUGAAACUACAAGGCUAGAGUGUGGCAGAGGGGGGUGGAAUUCCACGUGUAGCAGUGAAAUGCGUAGAGACGUGGAGGAACACCGAUGGCGAAGGCAGCCCCCUGGGUUAACACUGACGCUCAGGCACGAAAGCGUGGGGAGCAAACAGG